rnacentral:rRNA from 1 species
CUACGGGGAGGCUCCAGUGGGGAAUAUUGGACAAUGGGGGAAACCCUGAUCCAGCAAUGCCGCGUGUGUGAAGAAGGCCUGCGGGUUGUAAAGCACUUUCGGUUGGGAGGACUGCUUCUAGCACUAAUAUUGUUGGAAGUUGACGUUACCUUCAGAAGAAGCACCGGCUAACUCCGUGCCAGCAGCCGCGGUAAUACGGAGGGUGCAGCGGUUAAUAGGAAUUACUGGGCGUAAAGCGCGCGUAGGCGGCUAGAUCAAUCGGGUGUGAAAGCCCCGGGCUUAACCUGGGAACUGCAUCCGAUACUGUCUAGCUUGAGUACAGGAGAGGAGAGUGGAAUUCCACAUGUAGCGGUGAAAUGCGUAGAUAUGUGGAGGAACACCAAUGGCGAAGGCAGCUCUCUGGCCUGAUACUGACGCUGAGGUGCGAAAGCGUGGGGAGCAAACAGGAUUAGAUACCCGGGUAGUC